rnacentral:tRNA from 1 species
GCCUUUAUAGCUCAGUGGUAGAGCGUUGCACUUGUAGGAUGCAAAGGUCCAUUGUUCAAUCCAGUGUGGAGGCA